AGCCCAGCCCUCACACUGCAGCUCUACAGAGGAACCCAGCCUUGGAUGACCAGGUGGUCUCACUCAGUGAUCAGGACUGAGCACAUACGGAAACUAUGGAGCUGGCCCUGAGCCUUGUUUUCCUCCUUAUUUUAAAAGGUGUCCAUGCUGAGGAGCAGCUGGUGGAGUCCGGGGGAGGAUUGGUGCAGCCUGGGGGCUCCCUGAAACUCUCCUGCAUGGCCUCAGGAUUCACCUUCAGUACUUAUGUCAUGCACUGGAUCCGACAGGCUCCAGGAAAGGGGCUGGAGUGGAUCUCAUACAUCAGCCAGACUGGUAAAAACAUAAACUAUGCAGACUCCAUAAAGGGCCGAUUCACCAUCUCCAGAGACAACGAAAAGAACACACUGUAUCUGCAGAUGAGCAGCCUGAAACCCGAGGACACGGCCUUGUAUUACUGUGCAAGAAACACAGUGAGGGACAUCAUUGUGGGGCAAUACACAAACCUCCUUGCAAGGGCGCUUAAGUCCAGCAGAGGUCGCUGUGGCUGUGGAGAGGAAGGCCGGGUCCUAGGAGCAGGUGCAGAGGAGGAAGCCCUAUGGUUAGGGCUUCCUGUGGGCCUCUGGUUUUCCCCAUGUGUUAACAUCACAGACCUGCAAUGGAGGCACUGA